rfam:Bacterium M21 isolate M21 NODE_121_length_1681_cov_2.36293, whole genome shotgun sequence.
UCACUGGUAACGGUGGGGUCUGAAGGAAGCGAUAGGAAGUAAACGGCACAUCAUGUGAUGUGAACCUGAUUCGGCUGCGUAAGUGGAUGAGCCUGCAAAAUAGGGCGAUGUCCAACAAGUAGUUUCCGAGCGGCUUCGGGAGAUUGGGCAGUCAAUAGUAUUUU